GCGAGCGUAGCUCAAUAGGGAAGAGCACCGGUCUCCAAAACCGGCGGUUGCAGGUUCGAGUCCUGCCGCUCGUGCCU
rnacentral:tRNA from 1 species